rnacentral:rRNA from 1 species
UACCAGCACCCCGAGUGGUCGGGACGUUUAUUGGGCCUAAAGCAUCCGUAGCCGGUUCUACAAGUCUUCCGUUAAAUCCACCUGCUUAACAGAUGGGCUGCGGAAGAUACUAUAGAGCUAGGAGGCGGGAGAGGCAAGCGGUACUCGAUGGGUAGGGGUAAAAUCCGUUGAUCCAUUGAAGAACACCAGUGGCGAAGGCGGCUUACUGGUCCGGUACUGACGCUGAGGUGCGAAAGCGUGGGGAGCAAACAGG